rnacentral:sRNA from 1 species
AUGGAGGUGGAAGUUAAAGCUGCUUCUAUCUAUGAUGAAGAUGAACGUCCUCCCUCUUUAGCUAUUCCUGUGGACCAAACUCGUACUGAGCGAUACAUCACUGAACAUUUUCCCCAUCAACCGGAGAAUGUUAUUCAGCCGAGGACUAUGAAGUCGGUACCCAUCCAGAACAAUUCUAAGCGUGCCACCUAUUUAGACAGUUUACAGAGGAGACGUAAAUGGUGUUCUAGCAAACAGAAUCUGAAGACCGUAGACAUUGUUUUGUUGCGCGAGAAAGAUGUUCAUAGGAAUAUGUGGCCAUUGGGGAUAGUCGAGCGCCCAAUUGAGAGCAACGACAGAUUGGUCCGAAAGGCUGUCAUUCAUGUCGUGAAGGAUGGAAAGGUGACAACCUACACCAGACCUAUUGCGGAGAUGGUACUUCUCCUGGAAUAG